UACGGAGGGUGCAAACGUUGCUCGGAAUCAUUGGGCGUAAAGCGCGCGUAGGCGGCGAAGCAAGUUGGAUGUGAAAGCCCUGGGCUCAACCUAGGAUGUGCAUACAAAACUGCUUCGCUUGAAUCUCGGAGGGGUCAGGGAAUUCCCGGUGUAGAGGUGAAAUUCGUAGAUAUCGGGAGGAACACCAGUGGCGAAGGCGCUGACCUGGACGAUGAUUGACGCUGAGGCGCGAAAGCGUGGGGAGCAAACAGG
rnacentral:rRNA from 1 species